rnacentral:rRNA from 1 species
AUUGAACGCUGGCGGCAUGCUUUACACAUGCAAGUCGAACGGUAACAGGCCUUCGGGUGCUGACGAGUGGCGAACGGGUGAGUAAUGCAUCGGAACGUACCCAGAGGUGGGGGAUAACGCAGCGAAAGCUGUGCUAAUACCGCAUGUGAUCUGAGGAUGAAAGCGGGGGACCGAGCAGCAAUGUUUGGCCUCGCGCCUUUGGAGCGGCCGAUGUCGGAUUAGCUAGUUGGUGGGGUAAAGGCCUACCAAGGCGACGAUCCGUAGCUGGUCUGAGAGGACGACCAGCCACACUGGGACUGAGACACGGCCCAGACUCCUACGGGAGGCAGCAGUGUGGAAUUUUGGACAAUGGGCGCAAGCCUGAUCCAGCAAUGCCGCGUGCGGGAAGAAGGCCUUCGGGUUGUAAACCGCUUUUGGCAGGAACGAAACGGUGUCCGCUAAUACCGGGCGCUAAUGACGGUACCUGCAGAAUAAGCACCGGCUAACUACGUG